GUCUGCCUUGACAGCACCUGUACUGUAAUUGGAGUGAUACAAAGAAGAUUGCUCAACAUGGCCCCUACACAGGGAUGACAUACAAAUUCGUCAAACAUUCCCUAUCUUU